CAGACCAGGCUCUUCUCCCAGGUUCCCUCUGAUGCGGCUUUCCACUUCCCCGCCCCUAGAGUAUUGCUCCCUUCCUCUGCGACAGCUUUGUUUUCUAGUCUCCCAGGCAGUCUCUGCCCCGUCAAAUGGUUUAUAGACCUCCCAAGCAGUUUCCGCUCUGCCCCGCCCCCCUAGCCCGGGGACUAAUCUCUGGAGCCGAGGUCUCGGUGCGUCUCAAUUUUUGGUGACUGUGCCCGUAGUUCAGAUGGUCCGUUGGGUUCUUGAUCGGUUUUUCCGUACUCCGACUUACUGCUACACUCUUCUCUGCAUCUGGGGAUUCCUCCGGUUCAUUUGAUCUUUCGCCCGGUAGGUGACUUUCCAGGGUGCGGGAUCCCUUUCUCCUCCGCAGUUCCCUUUCGGGAGCGCCCGUCCCGCUGGGAUUCACCUUCUCUCACUCUCCUCUUUUCUCCCGUUCUGCCCAGUAAUGUCACGAACUUCUUGCCGUUAUUGGAGUUUAGGUUCCUCUGCCAGCGAUUGGUUGCUGUUCUGUGCGAGUCAUUUAUUCUGUAGAUGUGCUUUUUUUGUUGUGUUUGUGGGAGAGGGCGAGCGUGUCCCCCUACUCCUCCGCCAUCUUGUCCUCUUCUCUUGUUUAUCUUUUUAAAAAACCAACUCUUGGUUUUAUUGAUUUUUUUUUCUGUUUUUAAUUUCUGUUCUGUUUGUUUCUUCUCUGCUCUUUAUUAUUUCCUUUCUUCUACUGAGUUUGGGUUUUGUUUGUUCUUUUUCUAAUUUUUUUAGAUGGUAGGUUAGGUUGUUUAUUUGAGAUUUGUAUUGUUUCUUGAGGAAGGCAUGUAUUGCAAUGGAUUUCCCUCUUAGAACUGAUUUUGCUGCAUCCCAUAGACUUUGUAAAUGUGUUUUUUCAUUGUCAUUUGUCAAGAAGUAUGUUCUGAUUUCCUCUUUGAUUUGAUUGUUGACCCAUUGGUUUGUUUUGUUUUCUUUUUUUUUUUUUAAUAGCGUGUUGUUUAGUUCCCCUGUGUUCAUUUUUUCCCUUUUUCCUUUCUGUGGUUGAUUUCUAGUUUCAUACCACUGUGGAGAGAAAAGGUGCUUGAAAUGAUUUCUAUCCUCUUAAAUUUGUUGAGGCUUAUUUUGUGGUUCAAGGAUUGGUCUCUCCUAGAGAAUGUUCCUUGUGCACUUGAAAAGAAUCUAUAGGAAAGGGGAAAUCACAAUAGGAAAGACAAAUAUAUAAAAGAAUUGAAGAUCACUUAAAUAAGCCAAUACAGAGAUUUUUUUAAAAAUCAAAAAAUUUUUGUAAAAGCGAUGAUAACUACAAUUAGUACCAAAAGGAUAAACAUGAGGAUGGAAAUGGGAGUCAAAAAUCACAAAAUGUCGGGGAAGGAAGUAAAAAAAUGUAGAUAUUUUAGAAUGUGUUUGAACUUAUGUGGCUAUCAGUCUUUUUUUUUUUUCUUUUUAAUCUUUGCAGAGAAGACAUGUAUUACCGGGCUAUAAAUUAGAGGUGGCAGGUGGGGUGGGGCCGGAGGAGCCGCGUGGUCAUGUUUGGGGCAUCUGCUGGCGCUCUCUGUCCUCCUGGGCCUGGAUCCUGACUUCUUCAUCAAGGCGCUCCUUCGCAGGGGCCACCUUUGACUGCAGGUAGAAGGAGCCACCCACGGAUUUGUUGUUCACUUUGAAGAGGUGUUCGUAGUUCUGCAGAGGAGGGGACGCGAUGACAGGGUGUGCGGUCCCCGGGUUGCAGAGGCGGUUGUAGCUUCUGAAUCUCCUGGGGGCUCAGCUUGGAGAUGUUGAGAAUCGGCUGUGCCUCCUGAAGGCUGAGGCCGGAGAGGUUGGAGACAGCUGCAGACUGGGGGCGGGCACGUCCCCAGGCAUCAGCUGCUGCCCUGCUGGCCACAAACUCCUGGCGCAGGGCCCGGGGGCGAAGGCCCUGCCCACCACCUGCACACACAUCACAAUGAUGCGGGCCAGGUACUUGGCCACGGCGGCUGCUCUGCCUCAGGUACCCGGGCUCCUGCUUCCUGGCCCCGCGGCCUGAGCUCCUCGCGGCUAUCUGUCUUAAACAAGUAGAUGUCAUUACUGGUUAACAUACUAGAAAACCAGGGUAACCACAAAUCAAAAGCAUGCAAUGGAUUCAAACACUAAAGAGAAGGAGACUUGAGCCUAAUGCAAAAGAAAACCAUCAAAUCAAAAAAGAAAAAAAAAAAAAAAAA
rnacentral:lncRNA from 1 species